rnacentral:rRNA from 1 species
UGGGGAAUAUUGCACAAUGGGCGCAAGCCUGAUGCAGCCAUGCCGCGUGUGUGAAGAAGGCCUUCGGGUUGUAAAGCACUUUCAGCGAGGAGGAAGGUGGUGAGCUUAAUACGCUCAUCAAUUGACGUUACUCGCAGAAGAAGCACCGGCUAACUCCGUGCCAGCAGCCGCGGUAAUACGGAGGGUGCAAGCGUUAAUCGGAAUUACUGGGCGUAAAGCGCACGCAGGCGGUUUGUUAAGUCAGAUGUGAAAUCCCCGGGCUCAACCUGGGAACUGCAUUUGAAACUGGCAAGCUAGAGUCUCGUAGAGGGGGGUAGAAUUCCAGGUGUAGCGGUGAAAUGCGUAGAGAUCUGGAGGAAUACCGGUGGCGAAGGCGGCCCCCCUGGACGAAGACUGACGCUCAGGUGCGAAAGCGUGGGGCAGCAAACAGGAUUAGAUACCCUGGUAGUCCAGCGCUGUAAACGAUGUCGAUUUGGAGGUUGUGCCCUUGAGGCGUGGCUUCCGGAGCUAACGCGUUAAAGUCGACCGCCUGGGGGAGUACGG